GGGCGAAGCCUGAUGCAGCGAUGCCGCGUGCGGGAAGAAGGCCCUAGGGUUGUAAACCGCUUUCAGGAGGGAAGAAAAUGACGGUACCUCCAGAAGAAGGUGCGGCCAACUACGUGCCAGCAGCCGCGGUAACACGUAGGCACCAAGCGUUAUCCGGAUUUAUUGGGCGUAAAGAGCUCGUAGGCGGUUCAGUCAGUCGGGUGUGAAAACUUGAGGCUUAACCUCAAGAGGUCACUCGAUACUACUGUGACUAGAGUGCGGUAGGGGAGCGGGGAAUUCCUGGUGUAGCGGUGAAAUGCGCAGAUAUCAUGAGGAACACCAGUGGCGAAGGCGCCGCUCUGGGCCGUAACUGACGCUGAGGAGCGAAAGCAUGGGUAGCAAACAGGAUUAGAUACCCUGGUAGUCCAUGCCGUAAACGUUGGGCACUAGGUGUGGGUCUCAACCAACGAGAUCCGCGCCGUCGCUAACGCAUUAAGUGCCCCGCCUGGGGAGUACGGUCGCAAGACUAAAACUCA
rnacentral:rRNA from 1 species